rnacentral:rRNA from 1 species
CAGCCGUAAACUAUGCUCGCUAGGUGUCAGGCAUGGCGCGACCGUGUCUGGUGCCGCAGGGAAGCCGUGAAGCGAGCCACCUGGGAAGUACGGCCGCAAGGCUGAAACGUAAAGGAAUUGGCGGGGGAGCACAACAACGGGUGGAGCCUGCGGUUUAAUUGGACUCAACGCCGGACAACUCACCGGGGACGACAGCAAUAUGUAGGCCAGGCUGAAGACCUUGCCUGAAUCGCUGAGAGGAGGUGCAUGGCGUAGACGUCU